rnacentral:rRNA from 1 species
GACGAACGCUGGCGGCGUGCCUAAUACAUGCAAGUCGAACGCAGUGGGGACGGGUGAGUAACACGUGGGUAACCUCCCAUCAGAGGGGAUAACACUUGGCAACAGGUGCUAAACCGAUACUGAUGGAUGGACCCGCGGUGCAUUAGCUAGUUGGUGCGGUAACGGCUCACCAAGGCCAAGAUGCAUAGCCGGCCUGAGAGGGGUAUCGGCCACACGGGUACGGAGACACGGCCCAGACUCUUACGUGAGGCAGCAGUAGGGAAUCUGCGGCAAUGGACGAAAGUCUGACCGAGCAACGCCGCGUGAGUGAAGAAGGUUUUCGGAUCGUAAAACUCUGUUGUUAGAGAAGCGGUAUCUAACCAGAAAGCCACGGCUAACUACGUGCCAGCAGCCGCGGUAAUUC